rnacentral:rRNA from 1 species
UACGUAGGGGGCGAGCGUUGUCCGGAUUUAUUGGGCGUAAAGAGCGUGUAGGCGGCCAGGUAGGUCUGCUGUGAAAACUCGAGGCUCAACCUCGAGACGUCGGCGGAAACCAUCUGGCUAGAGUCCGGAAGAGGAAAGUGGAAUUCCUGGUGUAGCGGUGGAAUGCGUAGAGAUCCGGAAGAACACCGGUGGCGAAGGCGGCCUGCUGGGCAGUAGCUGACGCUGAGGCGCGACAGCGUGGGGAGCAAACAGG